rnacentral:rRNA from 1 species
UACGGAGGAUGCAAGCGUUAUCCGGAUUUAUUGGGUUUAAAGGGUGCGCAGGCGGACUAAUAAGUCAGUGGUGAAAUCUACAUGCUUAACAUGUAACGUGCCAUUGAUACUGUUAGACUAGUAUUCAAAUGACGUAGCUGGAAUGUGUUAUGUGGCGGUGAAAUGCGUAGAUAUAACACAGAACGCCGAUCGUGAAGACAGGUUACGAAUUUGACAUAGACGCUCAUGCACGAAAGUGUGGGGAUCAAAC